rnacentral:sRNA from 1 species
ACCUGCAGCAGGUUCGAGCCGAACGCAGUGAGGCACCGGAGCCGUUUACGGCGACGGCCCGAAGGGCGAGCGAAGCGAGUCAUCCUGCACGACCCACCA